rnacentral:lncRNA from 1 species
CAGUGAUGGACCCAAGAGGUUGCAUAUGACCCAAGCAGGACACCAAGUUCUUUUGGAUCCUUGAGUUUCAACUUUAUAAAACUGUCACUUUUUAAGACCAAAGUCUAUAGAACAAGAUCAGUUUCUUAUGGUUCAACUCACAGAAGCAGGGACGGAGACGCCUUCUUCCCAGUGGGGCUCCUAAACUGCCACGUGUAGACGUGGGGCCAUUGGCCUCCAUCUUGGUGGCCAACAGAAGGAAAGGAUGAGGUCAGUGCCGUGGAGGAAGAGACCAAAAGGGGAUAGAGUUGGAGGCAGGAGUCUCCACCAGGGAAGGACCUCAGCAGACACCAGAGUGAGUCAGGCGCAGCCCCGCCCAGCACCAGCUCCUCCACGGGACCUGUUUCGUCGUGGAGCCAAGUUCUGUGCCCCCUGGUGCCAGGAUAUGUAGUUUGUGAACAAACCGAAGCGGAGAGCAGGAACUUCUACAGGGAUGGUCCCUAAAGGAAACGCUCUUCCCCUCCUUUGCUGCUGUCUGGAGAAGAACACAAUACAAUCAACACAACAUCAGGCUUAUCCACCGUAUGCACUCGGCGCCCACCUCACCAAGGCCACAGAGGCUCGUGGGUAAAGUGUAAACAAAACAACAAAGGGCUGGGUGCCGUGGCUCCCGCCUGUAAUCUCAGCACUUUGGGAGGCCAAGGUGGGAGGAUUCCUUGAGCCCAGGAAUUCAAGACCAGCCUGAUCAACAUAGUGAGAUCCCAUCUCUGCAAAACAACAACAACAAAGGAAGCCUUAUGCAGUUAUGAGUGGAUCACCCAGAAUAUGUUAUCCUCUGCAUCCAUUUCAGAGCAACACACAGAAACAUCAAUGGCUUAGAACAGCCUGCAGGGCUGCGUCAACCAUCAACUUCAAUAAAACCCCAAGGUUCGCCUCAG